AAUCGACCACUGUACUCGACGUUGAAACGUUUGAUUCAUGACACAAGAAGGAUCCUCGACGACUGUACAUCGAUCUAAGGCGUUUUCAAUUCACAAGACCUCGGGAAAAGGAAGAAAAGAGGCUGAUAGAGAAGUAGAGGAAGAAAAAACAAAAAUCGACAUAGAAAACGACGAACAGAGUAGAGAAAAGGUCGCUGCAAAAUCUUGUUGCGAGUCAGGUGAAGAAGAAAGGAUCUGACAAAUCCGCAUCUGAGUCAGAUUCCACCCAUGACCCGUCUUGCCAGCAACCAGCCUAGACGACGCAGCCCGCACCUGCAGUGGCUCACGUCUGCAAUCCACGACCCAUAACUCGCUAUGCCUACAACCCAUUAAACUGAAGCCAAAUCCAAGCCUCGGCCCAGUCCAUCUGUAGCAGUCCGCGCUUGUAGCAAUUCGAGAACCCGAGGCCCAAAUUGCAGCCAACCUGUAACCCAUGAUCGCAGUCCAGCCUACAACUCGUGACUGAUGCCUCGACCUACGCCUCGAUCGAAGUCACCUGCACAUGUGUUGCCCUCGUAUUGGGCCAUGUAGCACGCUUGCAGUAAAUGACUCCUUCGACUUGGUCAGCUUAGACGGCUCAGCUUGGCUGUCCGCAACCCUUUAGGCUUAUUCAGCUCAAAUACUCAAAUUUCAAACUAAUUUCUACCAUUUUGACCCUCCCGAACCUGUUUUCGACCUCAAGAAAUGAUUCCCGAUAAUACUUGGAGCAGCUUUCGAGAAACGAGAGCCAACGAUAAUAAUUUAGGGAGAACGCCGGCUAUGGCCAACAAACUAACUAGAUGAUUAUGGGUCCAGGGGGUGUGAGCCGCCUGGAGAUUAACAAUCGCAAGUGUGGGUCGUGUGUAAGGAAGUACUAUUCAUCCAAGUUAGUCCGAACUGGAGGCCACCCCUAGGAUGAGAUAGUGACAGGUCCCUCGAGCAUUGUUCCAUGUAUUUGCAUUUCUUCAUGACCCCUAUAGAUGGUACACUUACUAAGUAAUCUUCGAAAUACUCAGGUCGUGUGCUAAAUCAUUUUACAAGUAAAGUCAAGGCACCCACGUACGGUUGACGGUGGCAUCACAAAGUAAAGACAAUGCAAUGUGCAGAAGAUAGAAACAUAUUUAAAUUCAAGGGGCGUCUUGCCUUUAUGUAAAAAAUGCAG